AACGCUGGCGGCGUGCCUAAUACAUGCAAGUCGAACGAACUUCCGUUAAUUGAUUAUGACGUGCUUGCACUGAAUGAGAUUUUAACACGAAGUGAGUGGCGGACGGGUGAGUAACACGUGGGUAACCUGCCCAGAAGCAGGGGAUAACACCUGGAAACAGAUGCUAAUACCGUAUAACAGUAGAAAACCGCCUGGUUUUCUUUUAAAAGAUGGCUCUGCUAUCACUUCUGGAUGGACCCGCGGCGCAUUAGCUAGUUGGUGAGGUAACGGCUCACCAAGGCGAUGAUGCGUAGCCGACCUGAGAGGGUAAUCGGCCACAUUGGGACUGAGACACGGCCCAGACUCCUACGGGAGGCAGCAGUAGGGAAUCUUCCACAAUGGACGCAAGUCUGAUGGAGCAACGCCGCGUGAGUGAAGAAGGGUUUCGGCUCGUAAAGCUCUGUUGUUAAAGAAGAACGUGGGUGAGAGUAACUGUUCACCCAGUGACGGUAUUUAACCAGAAAGCCACGGCUAACUA
rnacentral:rRNA from 1 species